CAGGGAAUACCAGUACCAGAUCAAUGUGGAGCUAUAUACAGGGAAUACCAGUACCAGAUCAAUGUGGAGCUAUAUACAGGGAAUACCAGUACCAGAUCAAUGUGGAGCUAUAUACUGGGAAUACCAGUACCAGAUCAAUGUGGAGCUAUAUACAGGGAAUACCAGUACCAGAUCAAUGUGGAGCUAUAUACAGGGAAUACCAGUACCAGAUCAAUGUGGAGCUAUAUACAGGGAAUACCAGUACCAGAUCAAUGUGGAGCUAUAUACAGGGAAUACCAGUACCAGAUCAAUGUGGAGCUAUAUACAGGGAAUACCAGUACCAGAUCAAUAUGGAGCUAUAUACAGGGAAUACCAGUACCAGAUCAAUGUGGAGCUAUAUACAGGGAAUAUCAGUACCAGAUCAAUGUGGAGCUAUGUACAGGGAGUACCAGUACCAGAUCAAUGUGGAGCUAUAUACAGGGAGUACCAGUACCAGAUCAAUGUGGAGCUAUGUACAGGGAGUACCAGUACCAGAUCAAUGUGGAGCUAUAUACAGGGAGUACCAGUACCAGAUCAAUGUGGAGCUAUGUACAGGGAGUACCAGUACCAUAUCAAUGUGGAGCUAUAUACAGGGAGUACCAGUACCAGAUCAAUGUGGAGCUAUGUACAGGGAGUACCAGUACCAGAUCAAUGUGGAGCUAUGUACAGGGAGUACCAGUACCAGAUCAAUGUGGAGCUAUGUACAGGGAAUACCAGAUCAAUGUGGAGCUAUGUACAGGGAGUACCAGUACCAGAUCGAUGUGGAGCUGUGUACAGGGAGUACCAGUACCAGAUCAAUGUGGAGCUAUGUACAGGGAAUACCAGUACCAGAUCAAUGUGGAGAUAUAUACAGAGAUUACCAGUACCAGAUGAAUGUGGAGCUAUAUACAGGGAAUACCAGUACCAGAUCAAUAUGGAGCUAUAUACAGGGAAUACCAGUACCAGAUCAAUGUGGAGCUAUAUACAGGGAAUACCAGUACCAGAUCAAUGUGGAGAUAUAUACAGGGAAUACCAGUACCAGAUCAAUGUGGAGCUAUAUACAGGGAAUACCAGUACCAGAUCAAUGUGGAGCUAUAUACAGGGAAUACCAGUACCAGAUCAAUGUGGAGCUAUGUACAGGGAGUACCAGUACCAGAUCAAUGUGGAGCUAUAUACAGGGAGUACCAGUACCAGAUCAAUGUGGAGCUAUGUACAGGGAGUACCAGUAUCAGAUCAAUGUGGAGCUAUGUACAGGGAGUACCAGUACCAGAUCAAUGUGGAGCUAUAUACAGGGAGUACCAGUACCAGAUCAAUGUGGAGCUAUGUACAGGGAGUACCAGUACCAGAUCAAUGUGGAGCUAUGUACAGGGAGUACCAGUACCAGAUCAAUGUGGAGCUAUGUACAGGGAAUACCAGAUCAAUGUGGAGCUAUGUACAGGGAGUACCAGUACCAGAUCGAUGUGGAGCUAUGUACAGGGAGUACCAGUACCAUAUCAAUGUGGAGCUAUAUACAGGGAGUACCAGUACCAGAUCAAUGUGGAGCUAUGUACAGGGAGUACCAGUACCAGAUCAAUGUGGAGCUAUGUACAGGGAGUACCAGUACCAGAUCAAUGUGGAGCUAUGUACAGGGAAUACCAGAUCAAUGUGGAGCUAUGUACAGGGAGUACCAGUACCAGAUCGAUGUGGAGCUGUGUACAGGGAGUACCAGUACCAGAUCAAUGUGGAGCUAUGUACAGGGAAUACCAGUACCAGAUCAAUGUGGAGAUAUAUACAGAGAUUACCAGUACCAGAUCAAUGUGGAGCUAUAUACAGAGAUUACCAGUACCAGAUCAAUGUGAAGCUAUAUACAGAGAGUACCAGUACCAUAUCAAUGUGGAGCUAUGUACAGGGAGUACCAGUACCAGAUCAAUGUGGAGCUAUGUACAGGGAGUACCAGUACCAGAUCAAUGUGGAGCUAUGUACAGGGAAUACCAGAUCAAUGUGGAGCUAUGUACAGGGAGUACCAGUACCAGAUCGAUGUGGAGCUGUGUACAGGGAGUACCAGUACCAGAUCAAUGUGGAGCUAUGUACAGGGAAUACCAGUACCAGAUCAAUGUGGAGAUAUAUACAGAGAUUACCAGUACCAGAUGAAUGUGGAGCUAUAUACAGGGAAUACCAGUACCAGAUCAAUAUGGAGCUAUAUACAGGGAAUACCAGUACCAGAUCAAUGUGGAGCUAUAUACAGGGAAUACCAGUACCAGAUCAAUGUGGAGAUAUAUACAGGGAAUACCAGUACCAGAUCAAUGUGGAGCUAUAUACAGGGAAUACCAGUACCAGAUCAAUGUGGAGCUAUAUACAGGGAAUACCAGUACCAGAUCAAUGUGGAGCUAUGUACAGGGAGUACCAGUACCAGAUCAAUGUGGAGCUAUAUACAGGGAGUACCAGUACCAGAUCAAUGUGGAGCUAUGUACAGGGAGUACCAGUAUCAGAUCAAUGUGGAGCUAUAUACAGGGAGUACCAGUACCAGAUCAAUGUGGAGCUAUGUACAGGGAGUACCAGUACCAGAUCAAUGUGGAGCUAUAUACAGGGAGUACCAGUACCAGAUCAAUGUGGAGCUAUGUACAGGGAGUACCAGUACCAUAUCAAUGUGGAGCUAUAUACAGGGAGUACCAGUACCAGAUCAAUGUGGAGCUAUGUACAGGGAGUACCAGUACCAGAUCAAUGUGGAGCUAUGUACAGGGAGUACCAGUACCAGAUCAAUGUGGAGCUAUGUACAGGGAAUACCAGAUCAAUGUGGAGCUAUGUACAGGGAGUACCAGUACCAGAUCGAUGUGGAGCUGUGUACAGGGAGUACCAGUAACAGAUCAAUGUGGAGCUAUGUACAGGGAAUACCAGUACCAGAUCAAUGUGGAGAUAUUUACAGAGAUUACCAGUACCAGAUGAAUGUGGAGCUAUAUACAGGGAAUACCAGUACCAGAUCAAUAUGGAGCUAUAUACAGGGAAUACCAGUACCAGAUCAAUGUGGAGCUAUAUACAGGGAAUACCAGUACCAGAUCAAUGUGGAGCUAUAUACAGGGAAUACCAGUACCAGAUCAAUGUGGAGAUAUAUACAGGGAAUACCAGUACCAGAUCAAUGUGGAGCUAUAUACAGGGAAUACCAGUACCAGAUCAAUGUGGAGCUAUAUACAGGGAAUACCAGUACCAGAUCAAUGUGGAGCUAUGUACAGGGAGUACCAGUACCAGAUCAAUGUGGAGCUAUAUACAGGGAGUACCAGUACCAGAUCAAUGUGGAGCUAUGUACAGGGAGUACCAGUAUCAGAUCAAUGUGGAGCUAUAUACAGGGAGUACCAGUACCAGAUCAAUGUGGAGCUAUGUACAGGGAGUACCAGUACCAGAUCAAUGUGGAGCUAUAUACAGGGAGUACCAGUACCAGAUCAAUGUGGAGCUAUGUACAGGGAGUACCAGUACCAUAUCAAUGUGGAGCUAUAUACAGGGAGUACCAGUACCAGAUCAAUGUGGAGCUAUGUACAGGGAGUACCAGUACCAGAUCAACGUGGAGCUAUGUACAGGGAGUACCAGUACCAGAUCAAUGUGGAGCUAUGUACAGGGAAUACCAGAUCAAUGUGGAGCUAUGUACAGGGAGUACCAGUACCAGAUCGAUGUGGAGCUGUGUACAGGGAGUACCAGUACCAGAUCAAUGUGGAGCUAUGUACAGGGAAUACCAGUACCAGAUCAAUGUGGAGAUAUAUACAGAGAUUACCAGUACCAGAUCAAUGUGGAGCUAUAUACAGAGAUGACCAGUACCAGAUCAAUGUGAAGCUAUAUACAGAGAGUACCAGUACCAGAUCAAUGUGGAGCUAUAUACAGAGAUUACCAGUACCAGAUCAAUGUGGAGCUAUAGACAGGGAAUACCAGUACCAGAUCAAUGUGGAGAUAUAUACAGGGAAUACCAGUACCAGAUCAAUGUGGAGCUAUAUACAGAGAUUACCAGUACCAGAUC
ensembl:lncRNA